UUUCCGUAGGUGAACCUGCGGAAGGAUCAUUAUUGUAUAACCGAGGUGCUAGGGCUGUCGCUGACCCGAAAGGUCGUGCACGCCCGAGUGCCCUCACACACAUCCAUCUCACUCCUACGUGCACCACCGCGUGGGUCCCCCUUUGGCUUGUUCGGAGGGGGGCUUACGUUUUCACACAAACUUUGUAUGCAGUGUAGAAUGUAUUUUUUGUUUUUGCGAUCACGCAAUCAAUACAACUUUCAACAACGGAUCUCUUGGCUCUC
rnacentral:misc_RNA from 1 species